AAAGAAUUGAAGCUUCGGCAGAAAUUCAUUUCGGAUUAGUGGCAGACGGGUGAGUAACGCGUGAGCAACCUACCUCUUACAAAGGGAUAGCCUCGGGAAACCGGGAUUAAUACCAUAUAACAUUGCGACGAAGCAUUUCGAUGCAAUCAAAGCUACGGCGGUAAGAGAUGGGCUCGCGUCCCAUUAACCAGAUGGUGAGGUAACGGCUCACCAUAGUAACGAUGGGUAACCGGCCUGAGAGGGUGAACGGUCACACUGGAACUGAGACACGGUCCAGACUCCUACGGGAGGCAGCAGUGGGGAAUAUUGCACAAUGGAGGGAACUCUGAUGCAGCGACGCCGCGUGAGUGAUGAAGGAAUUCGUUUCGUAAAACUCUGUUCUAUGGGAAGAAAAGGACUGUACCAUAGGAGAAAGCUCCGGCUAAAUACGUGCCAGCAGCCGCGGUAAUACGUGUGGAGCGAGCGUUGUCCGGAAUUAUUGGGCGUAAAGGGUGCGCAGGCGGCUUUACAAGUUGGAUGUGAAAUAUUGUGGCUCAACCACAAACGUGCAUCCAAAACUGCAAAGCUUGAGUUAAGGAGAGGUAAGUGGAAUUCCUGGUGUAGCGGUGGAAUGCGUAGAUAUCAGGAGGAAUACCGGUGGCGAA
rnacentral:rRNA from 1 species